GGAAUAUAAGAACCCGUCUUUUAACUUUUAACUAAAAAAACUAAGAACCGGCUCUUAAGUAAGAGUUUUAAGAACCGGUUCUUAACUUUUUUAGUUAAAAGUUAAGAGACGGGUUCUUAUAUUCC
rfam:Brassica oleracea var. oleracea cultivar TO1000 chromosome C1, whole genome shotgun sequence